rnacentral:rRNA from 1 species
CGAUAACGAACGAGACCUUAACCUGCUAAAUAGUUAGGCCAACGUUUGUUGGUCGUCAACUUCUUAGAGGGACUAUUGACUAUUAGUCAAUGGAAGUUUGAGGCAAUAACAGGUCUGUGAUGCCCUUAGAUGUUCUGGGCCGCACGAGCGCUACACUGAUCAAGUCAACGAGUAUACAACCUUGGCCGGAAGGUCUGGGUAAUCUUUUGAAACUUGAUCGUGCUGGGGAUAGUCCAUUGCAAUUAUUGGACUUCAACGAGGAAUUCCUAGUAAGCGUGAGUCAUCAGCUCGCGUUGAUUACGUCCCUGCCCUUUGUACACACCGCCCGUCGCUACUACCGAUUGAAUGGCUGGGGCGGGGGCGGCGGGCCGGCGCGGGGCGCGGCGGGCGAGGUCUCGUUCGUUAUCGA